AUUGAACGCUGGCGGAAUGCUUUACACAUGCAAGUCGAACGGCAGCACGGGGCAACCUGGUGGCGAGUGGCGAACGGGUGAGUAAUACAUCGGAACGUGCCCAAUCGUGGGGGAUAACGUAGCGAAAGUUACGCUAAUACCGCAUACGAUCUACGGAUGAAAGCGGGGGAUGGCAAGACCUCGCGCGAAUGGAGCGGCCGAUGUCAGAUUAGGUAGUUGGUGGGGUAAAGGCUCACCAAGCCAACGAUCUGUAGCUGGUCUGAGCGGGCGACCAGCCACACUGGGACUGAGACACGGCCCAGACUCCUACGGGAGGCAGCAGUGGGGAAUUUUGGACAAUGGGCGCAAGCCUGAUCCAGCCAUUCCGCGUGCAGGAUGAAGGCCUUCGGGUUGUAAACUGCUUUUGUACGGAACGAAACGGUUCUCUCUAAUACAGGGGGCUAAUGACGGUACCGUAAGAAUAAGCACCGGCUAACUACGUGCCAGCCGCCGCGGUAAUAC
rnacentral:rRNA from 1 species